rnacentral:rRNA from 1 species
GACGAACGCUGGCGGCGUGCUUAACACAUGCAAGUCGAACGGAAAGGCCUGCUUUCCCUUGUGGAUUGCGGGUACUCGAGUGGCGAACGGGUGAGUAACACGUGAGUGAUCUGCCCCCAACUUGGGUAUAAGCCUGGGAAACUGGGUCUAAUUCCCGAUAGGACUGCAGGGUGGUGCCUGUGGUGGAAAACGAUUUUCUAGUGGUUGGGGAUGAGCUCGCGGCCUUUCAGCUUGUUGGUGGGGUAAUGGCCUACCAAGGCGGCGACGGGUAGCCGGCCUGGGAGGGUGGACGGCCGCAUUGGGACUGCGAUACGGCCCAGACUCCUACGGGAGGCAGCAGUGGGGAAUAAUGCACGAUGGGCGGAAGCCUGAUGCAGCGACGCCGCGUGGGGGAUGACGGCCUUCGGGUUGUAGACUCCUUUCGACCGCGAGGAAGCCACCUGGUUGGAGGGGUGGUGACGGUAGUGGUAGAAGAAGCACCGGCUAACUACGUG